rnacentral:lncRNA from 1 species
GAAUCUGCUCCAGCAAGCGGAGGAUUUGGUCUUGUCCCUUGGCAGUCGUGAGGUAAUGUAUUCUACCACUCUGCCUCACAGUCCCCAUCAAUCUUACGGCCUUCGUGUGUCCGGUUCUUCACAAGAACAGUGUUUCAUAUGUAAAUGCUCUCCUCUGUUGGGGCCUGUCCAAGCAUGCGUGUGCACACCUGUCCCUAAGUCUGUCUGUUUGUCUGUCCGUGAUGCAGGCUGUGGAGGGAGAUCGGUCCUGGAGGCUACUGCUCGUGUUCGUCAGUGUGGAUGAACUCCAUGUCUGUCCAGGCCAGGUCAAAUAGCCAAUCGCAGUUUUUCUCUAAUCCUUCAAACGUUAUGUUGUCUUCCUCCCCCUCCCACCCUAACCAACUCUCUCUCCCUCCCUCUCUUCCCUCUCUCCCCAUCUCAAUACAACAGGAGGCUGCAGCUGUGUCCUCAGCCACAAAGGAAGUGGAGGACGUGCUGACCACCUUGGAGAGUCAGGUAAGGGGAGCACACACACAGUCAGAGAGGGAGAGCUCACACACACAUAACAGACAUACAGUAGGCAACAGCUUACAACAGAUACAACAGGUAACAGUUUGAACAUAGAAGCACAUGAAAGAUGGAGACUUCUUCAGUGAAAAUGUAAAAAAAAACAUCAAUCCUUGUCAAACCUUGGACAAGGUAUCUGCAUUUGCAUGUAUCCUGUGUUGUGCUCCGAUACAUCCCAGUGACUGUGUUUGUGCUCCGAUACAUCCCAGUGUCUGUGUUUGUGCUCCGAUACAACCCAGUGUUUGUGCUCCGAUACAUCCCAGUGUCUGUGUUUGUGCUCCGAUACAACCCAGUGUUUGUGCUCCGAUACAUCCCAGUGUCUGUGCUUGUGCUCCGAUACAUCCCAGUGUCUGUGUUUGUGCUCCGAUACAACCUAGUGUUUGUGCUCCGAUACAUCCCAGUGUCUGUGUUUGUGCUCCGAUACAACCCUGUUGUGCUCCGAUACAUCCCAGUGUCUGUGUUUGUGCUCCGAUACAACCUAGUGUCUGUGCUUGUGCUCCGAUACAUCCCAGUGUCUGUGUUUGUGCUCCGAUACAACCCAGUGUUUGUGCUCCGAUACAUCCCAGUGUCUGUGUUUGUGCUCCGAUACAUCCCUGUGCUUGUGCUCCGAUACAUCCCAGUGUUUGUGUUUGUGCCUGCAGCUGCCCCGUACCCUGGUCCGUGUUGUGGUGUGGAGCGAACACAGUGAGGUCAUCCACUCCUGUGUGUCUGGAGGCAAGAGGAGAUCAGGCAGAAGCACCAUGGAUAAAGCCAUACUAA